rnacentral:rRNA from 1 species
UCGGAGGUCAUUACUGAGAGGUUACUAAGACUCUUGGGUUGAGUUUCUUUACUCUUCUCUUGAGUUUCCUCACGGUUUUGUGCAAUGUUGGGUCACCUUGGUUGACUCUGCCCUAAGUUAUUGGGCUGGCCUUUGGGGCCCCUAGUAUGAUUUAUCAUACUAACCCCAGAGGUUAAUUUCUACUAUGUCUAUGAAUUGAUGUAUGAAAAAAGUUAUUUGUUAACUUGAAGGCUUUUGCUGUAAAAAGUGAGUCUUUAAAAACAACUCUUGGCAAUGGAUCUCUUGGUUCUCGCAUCGAUGAAGAGCGUAGCAAAGUGCGAUAAUUAUUGCGACUUGCAUUCAUAGUGAAUCAUCGAGUUCUUGAACGCAUCUUGCGCCUAGUAGUCAAUCUACUAGGCACAGUUGUUUCAGUAUCUGCAUCCACCAAUCAACACGACUUGCUUGUGUUGGAACUGGGCUUACUUUUGAUGGCAUUUAGUUGCUGUCAUGGCCUUAAAUGUAUUUAGUCCUAGGUGUUAACUUGUUAAUGCCGGAUGGAGACUCUAGAGUGCCUUAGAAGCAGCUUGGUUAGUGAGUUCAUAAUUCCAAGUGUUAGUCUUUUAUUGAACUGGGUUUCUAGUCUAUGGGACAUGGAGUCGUAAGACUCUUAAACAACAAACUCACAUUUAGAUCUGAAAUCAACUGAGACCACCCGCUGAACUUAAGCAUAC